rnacentral:sRNA from 1 species
CAUGUGGUCUGUUUCUAAACGUUGUUUCUUGGACAACAUACGGACAGAAGCCAUUCUCCUCUUCUGACACCAGCCACUCUACUGAGAGUAGUCCAGAUGCCUGCACCAUCCUUGAUUAUCUCAUUUCCUUUUUUCAAUAAUUUUAUGAGAUAAGGUAUUAUUAUCUUCACUUAAAAAUGAAACAACUGAAUUUCCAAGAAGAUACAUUACCAAAGUCACGCAGCCAGUAAAUGCUGGAGUCAGGAUUUCAAACGUAGCUCAGAAUCACUCCAAAAGCCAUGCUCUUUGUCACAAUUGGACCGCCAUUGACAAUGGAACAUUCUGACUCAGUUCCUAUUCUUGCAUUCCAAGGUUCAUUGAGAACCAUUUUCCAAACUAGCAGUAAUUUCUAAAACCUAGAAAAACAAUGUAACUAACUUAAAAAUAAGUUCUAAAAAUCAUGAAUGUUUGCACUUGAGAAAUCUUAUAUUUAAUUAGUGGAGGUAGAAGACAUAGACUUUUGAGAAUGUUUUAAAGGGAAGUUGAGAGAAUUUUCAAGGGUUUAGAGGUUAAUGGUAUGGGCUCUUUAGUUUUAGUUUAGUUUUUUAUUUUUAUGGUGGAAAAAAAAAAACACCUCUAAGAAAAGUUUAUAACAUGUGUAUAUAUAUGGUGCUGGUUAAAAAUAGAAAAUUACACUACCUGGUGACCUUCCCUGGUCAUACAGCAUUAGCACUGUGCUAUGUCUAUAUUUGUGUACUAGGGACACAUUUCCCUUUCCUUGACAUUAUCAGGACAUUUUUUUACUCAUUAACCUUGAUUAGAAUCAUUCUAGUGAUUUACGGAAGAACAAAUAGAAAGGGAAAGGGAAAACCAUUCCUGUGAUCACAGGAAAAGAACCAGAAGGAGAAAGAGGGGGAUGAUUAAAGAGAAUAGAUGGAUAGGUAUUUAUAAGAAAACUUUUUUCUGAGGUGGAAUGAAUGGUGCUGGAAAGGAAAAGGAGGCGUGGGCUUUGGAAAGGAGAAAGGAUGUGCUAGGGAAGUGUUAGAGCUACCGGCACUGUGGGUUGGAGGUUUGGUUGCUCUCCGGAGCAAGAGAGGAGGAAGCAGGGAGAAUGGGGCAGCCCAGGCAAGAGGAUGGGGGGAGCAUUUUGGAGGUGGACACUCACCAGUUUUGUUAGUCAUCAUUUGGGAGAUAUCCCCUAGAUUGAGUGUCUGAGAGUGUGAAUCUCCCGUGUUCUGUUCUAAAUGGAAAGAUCAAUGCCCAGGAAUCGUUGUUGUUUUUAACCAACAUAAAGUGUUGUUUAAAUAUUGAGUGUGCCUGUAAUCCCAGCACUUUGGGAGGCCGAGGCGCGUGGAUCACUGAAGCUCAGGAAUUCAAGACCAGCCUGGCCAACAUGGUGAAACCCUGUCUCUACUAAAAAUACAACAAUUAGCCAGGUGUGGUGGCGGGCACAUGUAAUCCCAGCUACGGGAGGCUAAGGCAGGAAAAUCACUUGAACCCGGGAGGCAGAGGUUACAGUGAGCUGAGGUCACACCACUUCACUCCAGCCUGGGUGACAGAGCGAGACUUUUGUCUCAAGAAAUAAAAGUAAAUAAAUAUGGAGUGGGUGUUGAAGUGAACAGGUUAGGAACCGAAAGGACAAUAGCAGGAAUCUGAGUAGUAGUUCAGAAGAAAAAAAAAGGACCGCAAGUCAUUUAGUAGGCUGGAAAUGACAAAAGAGACUCAUAACUAAGCUUUAUGAUUAAAUGCCUUUGUUUAUCACUACAGUUUACAUCACCUUUUUUUUUUUUUCCAGGAGCCUUGCAAACAACAAUCUCCAGACACUCCCAAAAGAUAUUUUCAAAGGCCUGGAUUCUUUAACAAAUGUGUAAGAGGACCUAAGAAAUCACUGAACAAUUAAUUAAUUUGCAGUCAUUAACAAGGAAGCCUGGUAUUGAUUAUUAGAAUUUUUAAUUGGCUUUUAAAUUAAAAUUAUGAUUUUUAAAUCUAAAUUUUAACUGGCCAAAAAUUUAAAUUUACAUGGACUAACAUUUGAGUCUUCUAUGGUAUUUAUCAUUGGAAAUUCUGAAUACAUGGCACCCAGGCAUUCCUUUGACAAAGUGUGUGUCAAUACCGCAGGGAGCGAUGAUAAGGGACUUUGAUGGGGUGGGAAGAGACCCGGCUAGAAAUUUCAAAAUCCCUUUUUUCUCAUGAGGUCCAGGAAACAGGGCUACAAAGGAAAAACAUAAAGGAGUCUGGGAAACUGACAGAAUAAAGAUGAAAGGUUACAUCCUUGGGUUGGUCAAUCAACAGAGAAAUGGAGCAGGAAGUGGGGGAAGGGAGAAAAGUUUGCCUUUUUUCUCAUUAGACUGAACAACAACUCUAAGCUUAAUCCUCAGGAAUUUGGCUUAAGCCCCAGGAAGGGAAUGAACUUAAUUAUUUUUGACCCUUUUUCAAACAAAAGAGCUUUCAAACUUUGACUUUUAAGCCUCCGAGUGAAAGAUCUUUGCAGGAAUUUGUAUAUUUUGCUGUAAGCAAAGCAAGUAAUAUAUGCCUAAACCUCUCAAAAGCAAUUCAGCUUCAUUAUUUGCUUUCCAGAAGAUUAGAAAGGUAUUUAAAUGUCAUAAGGUGGAAGACAGGAACAAAUGAAAGGAUACAUGAAAACAAAAGCUUUUUAAAAAAAUUAUUCAGGUACUUUGCUGUAGAAUAUAUAUUCAAAACAACUUUUCUCCAAUAACAAACAAAAAGAAAAUCUGAGUCAAGUACUUUCUUCCAAGCCCAGUAUUUAACUUCAAAUCAGUAGCCUAAUGAAAAACUUUCUUUGUUCCUUGCAGUAUUUCCCCAGCCCCUCCUCCAUGUCUAUUACCCCAAUUCCUGAAUGAUGGUUUAAUUCCAGGAGAAUGCCCAAAUCAGGAUUCUUCCAAGAGAGUCCUGGACAGACCACAGUUAUCCUCUCUGGUUUACAGUAGCCUGAAAGGUUGCCACUCAUUAGUGUGGGUCAGAGUUCUCCUGGGAGACUAGGUCGGUUCUGGGAGUGUCUUGGAAGUUAGAACACACUCCAUGGGUGACAUGGGAUGUAGCUCAUUGGGGGUCCUUUACCCCAUUUUUGUGUCAGUCUAUACCCUACACUAGUGAAAGACAAAACAAAAAAAUAUUGAAAUUGGCUCAGUCUCUCAUGGGAAUCCCAAGAUGGGUUUAGCUGUUUGGACCUACUCUAAUAUGCCCAAAUCAAGAAUUAUCUUACAAGUACAAGGAUCCAUGCCAGCUUGCCUUUUAGUGGAUUUCUUGGCUUUCUUGAAAGUAUCCUCUAAAAAACAUUUUUAAAUGUUUGGGCGUUUAAAAAUUAUUUAUGUGUGGUGUGAAGAGUAGGCAGCACCUAUCUUAAGAAUUCUGUGUGACCAGGAAAGGAGGUGGAAUUCCUGAACAGAAGCAAUGCAUACACAGAGAACUUGGUGAGUUGGGGUCAUAUGUGGACAUGUAAAUGGUCUAUGCUGUAUAACUUAUUACAGGCAUGAGCGAUUGUAUGUCUGUGUUAACUCUGCUGUGUCAAAGUCAUUUCCUAUUUAAGCUGAAUUUGUAGACCACGGAAGAGGAUCAGGAUUAAUUAUGUCUGUGAGGAAGAAGAAAAGCAAAUAGCUCACUUGAUUUAAUUAAUACAUUACAAUAAUACUACAUUCUGUCCUUUAGACCUGUGCUGUCCAAUAGGGUAGCCACCAGACUUUAUGGUCACUGAGCACCUAAAAUGUGCUCCUAGUACAACUGAGAGACUGAGUUUUAAAUUUUACUUAAUUUUUUAACAGUUAAUUUUAAAUUUAAAAGCUGAUUCUCAGCUCAAUUAUUGGAAAAUGUUAAGUAUGCUUGGAAUAAUUUGGAUAUAUACACCUUUUUUUUCAAUUAUGAAUUUUAUGACAUCUAAAUAUAGAUCAUCUAUUUCUGGUAAAAUUUAGCACCUGAAUUGAGAUAUAUUAUAGAUAUAAAAUACACACUGGACUUCAAAGACUUAGUAUAAAAAAGAAUGUAAAAUAUCUCAAUAAUGUUUAUAUUGAUGAUGUGUCAAAAUGAUAAUCUUUUGUAUGUAUUGGGUUAAAUAAAACAUAUUAUUAAAAUGAAUUAUACCUGCUUCUUUUUACUUUUUUAACGUGGCUAUAGAAAAUUUUAAAUUACAAUUAUGGUUCAUAUACUGUUUCUAUUGACAGCACAGCCCUAGACUAAGCCACUUUAGAAUUCAAGAGGGAGUAAGUGAUGAGGUUCCAUUGACUGGGUAGUCUUCAAGUGUGCAUGGUGCUAACUCUCUGAGCCCAAAGUGAAUGAGUGGUCAGUCAGGUUCCAGGCAGGUUAUAGGGCAGGAUGUAAAGCAGGGUAAGGUCAUUCUGCACAUGUUAAUUGUUGAUGUAGAACUCUUUCCUGUAUGGGUAGGGCCCUUGUACAGCAAAAGCAGCUGAAGUUUGUCUUUCAGGGACCUGAGGGGUAAUUCAUUUAAUUGUGACUGUAAACUGAAAUGGCUAGUGGAAUGGCUUGGCCACACCAAUGCAACUGUUGAAGACAUCUACUGCGAAGGCCCCCCAGAAUACAAGAAGCGCAAAAUCAAUAGUCUCUCCUCCAAGGAUUUCGAUUGCAUCAUUACAGAAUUUGCAAAGUCUCAAGACCUGCCUUAUCAAUCAUUGUCCAUAGACACUUUUUCUUAUUUGAAUGAUGAGUAUGUAGUCAUCGCUCAGCCUUUUACUGGAAAAUGCAUUUUCCUUGAAUGGGACCAUGUGGAAAAGACCUUCCGGAAUUAUGACAACAUUACAGGCACAUCCACUGUAGUAUGCAAGCCUAUAGUCAUUGAAACUCAGCUCUAUGUUAUUGUGGCCCAGCUGUUUGGUGGCUCUCACAUCUAUAAACGAGACAGUUUUGCAAAUAAAUUCAUAAAAAUCCAGGAUAUUGAAAUUCUCAAAAUCCGAAAACCCAAUGACAUUGAAACAUUCAAGAUUGAAAACAACUGGUACUUUGUUGUUGCUGACAGUUCAAAAGCUGGUUUUACUACCAUUUACAAAUGGAACGGAAACGGAUUCUACUCCCAUCAAUCCUUACACGCGUGGUACAGGGACACUGAUGUGGAAUAUCUAGAAAUAGUCAGAACACCUCAGACACUCAGAACGCCUCAUUUAAUUUUGUCUAGUAGUUCCCAGCGUCCUGUAAUUUAUCAGUGGAACAAAGCAACACAAUUAUUCACUAACCAAACUGACAUUCCUAACAUGGAGGAUGUGUACGCAGUGAAGCACUUCUCAGUGAAAGGGGACGUGUACAUUUGCUUGACAAGAUUCAUUGGUGAUUCCAAAGUCAUGAAAUGGGGAGGCUCCUCGUUCCAGGAUAUUCAGAGGAUGCCAUCGCGAGGAUCCAUGGUGUUCCAGCCUCUUCAGAUAAAUAAUUACCAAUAUGCAAUUCUUGGAAGUGAUUACUCCUUUACUCAAGUGUAUAACUGGGAUGCAGAGAAAGCCAAAUUUGUGAAAUUUCAGGAAUUAAAUGUUCAGGCACCAAGAUCAUUCACACAUGUGUCCAUUAAUAAGCGUAAUUUUCUUUUUGCUUCCAGUUUUAAGGGAAAUACACAGAUUUACAAACAUGUCAUAGUUGACUUAAGCGCAUGAGACACCAAAUUCUGUGGCUGCCAUCAGAAAUUUUCUACAGUACAUGACCCGGAUGAACUCAAUGCAUGAUGACUCUUCUUAUCACACUUGCAAAUGAAUGCCUUUCAAACAUUGAGACUGCUAGAACCAAGCACUACCAGUAUCUCCAUCCUUAACUGUCCAGUCCAGUGAUGUGGGAAGUUACCUUUUACAAGACAAAAUUUAAUUGUGUAACUGUUCUUUGCAGUGAAGACGUGUAAAUAAGCGUUUAAUGGUAUCUGUUACUCCAAAAAGAAAUAUUAAUAUGUACUUUUCCAUUUAUUUAUUCAUGUGUUCAGAAACAACUGCCAAAUAAAAUGUUUACAUUUUCUUUCAU